UAAAUUGAGAGUUUGAUCCUGGCUCAGGACGAACGCUGGCGGCGUGCCUAACACAUGCAAGUCGAGCGAUGAAGCCUUCGGGGUGGAUUAGCGGCGGACGGGUGAGUAACACGUGGGUAACCUGCCUCAUAGAGGGGGGAUAGCCUCCCGAAAGGCUGA
rnacentral:ncRNA from 1 species